rnacentral:rRNA from 1 species
GAUGAACGCUAGCGGCAGGCUUAAUACAUGCAAGUCGAGGGGCAACAGGGGUAGCAAUACCUGCUGGCGACCGGCAAACGGGUGCGGAACACGUACAGAACCUUCCUUUAAGCGGGGGAUAGCCCAUAGAAAUGUGGAUUAAUACCCCAUGGUAAUGUUUAGUGGCAUCACUAGAUAUUUAAAGAUUUAUCACUUAAAGAUGGCUGUGCGUCUGAUUAGGUAGUUGGGUAGGUAAGGCUCACCAAGCCAUCGAUCAGUAACUGGUGUGAGAGCACGACCAGUCACACGGGCACUGAGACACGGGCCCGACUCCUACGGGAGGCAGCAGUAAGGAAUAUUGGUCAAUGGACGCAAGUCUGAACCAGCCAUGCCGCGUGAAGGAUGAAGGCCCUCUGGG